GUCGUAAUUAUAUGAUAAACUUUUUUGGUUUAAUGGAAAGUAUUUGAAGACAUUCGACUCAAGGAGGUCAUCUAGAGUUCAUAUUAAAUUUUUAUUAUCUCUUUAAAAAAAAAUCGACGGGAGUACGAUGAACACAUUCUGAAUCAAUACCAAGAUAUUCUAUAAAAGAUAUGCAGCUGAUGAUUCUCUGACGACCUCACGAUCUCUCAUCGAUGACCAGCCAGACCAGACACCAGCUAAUUCUCCAGACGUCAAACAUUCAACUGUGAAUUCUCAACUUUGAAUAUUGUAGCAAAGCAGAUAAAUGUUUACAUGACAAAAUAUAUAUCAAUACUAUUUAAACUGAUCAUUGGAAGUAUCUUAAUUAUCAAUACUAUUAUUAUUCAUUGUUCAAAGUCCAAUCUA